rnacentral:misc_RNA from 1 species
UUUCUCCUUCAGGGAGGGCUAUUUGAUACAUGUAUCAAAGGAACUGAUAUUUCAUUCGACUCCAGGAUAGUUGGAUUCCAGUGAUUGGUCGAAUGCGCAUAAAACUCUUGCUAUUCGCAAAUUGUUUAGCCAUUAGGAAUCUCCGAUUUACAAUGUAUGCAAGGGUAGACGUCCAGCGAUUGGACGGCGUACGCCAAUAAGAAUUCAAACUCAUGCAAUUCCCAGAAUUUCUCGCCUUAGGAAGGGAUCUCUGAUACAUAUAAUAUGUUAAAGGAACUUAUUUCGUUCGACUGCCGAAUAUUCGGGUCCAGCGUUUGGACAAACGCACAUAAUAGAUAAUAGGUUGAUUUUUCAAUAGAUUAAAACUUCAUUAACCAAUUUUUGUAUAUAUGAUAAAUAAAUUCUCAAGUAUAGGGGAUUUG